UACGUAGGGGGCUAGCGUUGUCCGGAAUCAUUGGGCGUAAAGCGCGUGUAGGCGGUUCGGUAAGUCCGCUGUGAAAGUCGGGGGCUCAACCCUCGAAUGCCGGUGGAUACUGUCGGGCUAGAGUGCGGAAGAGGCGAGUGGAAUUCCUGGUGUAGCGGUGAAAUGCGCAGAUAUCAGGAGGAACACCAAUUGCGAAGGCAGCUCGCUGGGACGCUACUGACGCUGAGACGCGAAAGCGUGGGGAGCAAACAGG
rnacentral:rRNA from 1 species